CAACCUGAGAGUUUGAUCCUGGCUCAGAACGAACGCUGGCGGCAGGCUUAACACAUGCAAGUCGAACGCCCCGCAAGGGGAGUGG
rnacentral:rRNA from 1 species